GGAGGAUCCGAGCGUUAUCCGGAUNNAUGGGGUNUAAAGGGAGCGUAGAUGGAUGUUUAAGNCAGUNGUGAAAGNNUGCGGCUCAACCGUAAAAUNGCAGUNGAUACUGGAUAUCUUGAGUGCAGUUGAGGCAGGCGGAAUUCGUGGUGUAGCGGUGAAAUGCUUAGAUAUCACGAAGAACUCCGAUUGCGAAGGCAGCCUGCUAAGCUGUAACUGACAUUGAGGCUCGAAAGUGUGGGUAUCAAACAGGAUUAGAUACCCUGGUAGUCCACACGGUAAACGAU
rnacentral:rRNA from 1 species